UACGGGGGGGGCAAGCGUUGUUCGGAAUCACUGGGCGUAAAGCGCACGUAGGCGGAUGUGCCAGUCAGGGGUGAAAUCCCGGAGCUCAACUCCGGAACUGCCUCUGAUACAGCACGUCUUGAGUUCGAGAGAGGUGGGUGGAAUUCCUAGUGUAGAGGUGAAAUUCGUAGAUAUUAGGAAGAACACCAAUGGCGAAAGCAGCUCUCUGGGACGGUACUGACGCUGAGACGCGAAAGCGUGGGGAGCGAACAGG
rnacentral:rRNA from 1 species